UCCACUCCCCGGGCGAUCGCGGGUGUUCCGUUUCGGCGGAAGGCUCGAGGAAAGUCCGGACACCACAGGGCAGCGCGCCUCGUGAAAGCGAGGGACGGUCCGGUGCAAGCCGGGCCGGACGGAAAGUGCAGCAGAAAGCAAACCGCCCCGGGCAAAGCCGAGCUUCGGCGAGGCCGCGUCGAGGGGUAAGGGUGAAAUGGUGGGGUAAGAGCCCACCGCUCCAAGGGUAACCGAGGAGGCAUGGUAAACCCCGCGUGGUGCAAGACAGAACAGGGGAAGGGUUGCCCGCCCGACCAGGAUCCCCGGGUAUUAGUCGCAUCCCGUUUCGGCGGGAUCCCGCUUCCCAGGAGGCGGGAAGAGAAAUGGUCGCCACCCCGAGCGGGCCGCAAGGCGCGUCGAAGGGCACAGAAUCCGGCUUACAGGGGAGUGGACUGU
rnacentral:RNase_P_RNA from 1 species